rnacentral:rRNA from 1 species
GAUGAACGCUGGCGGCGUGCUUAACACAUGCAAGUCGAACGGUGAACGAGGGAGCUUGCUCCCUCCGGAUCAGUGGCGAACGGGUGAGUAACACGUGAGCAAUCUGCCCUGGACUCUGGGAUAAGCGUUGGAAACGACGUCUAAUACCGGAUACGAGGCGUGGGGGCAUCCCCAACGCCUGGAAAGAACUUCGGUCCAGGAUGAGCUCGCGGCCUAUCAGGUAGUUGGUGAGGUAACGGCUCACCAAGCCUACGACGGGUAGCCGGCCUGAGAGGGUGACCGGCCACACUGGGACUGAGACACGGCCCAGACUCCUACGGGAGGCAGCAGUGGGGAAUAUUGCUCAAUGGGCGCAAGCCUGAUGCAGCAACGCCGCGUGAGGGACGACGGCCUUCGGGUUGUAAACCUCUUUUAGCAGGGAAGAAGCGAAAGUGACGGUACCUGCAGAAAAAGCACCGGCUAACUACGUGCCAGCCGCCGCAGUAAGAC